rnacentral:rRNA from 1 species
AUAUCAGUCAUGCAUAGCAUAUCAAUAAGCGGAGGAAAAGAAACUAACAAGGAUUCCCUUAGUAACGGCGAGUGAAGCGGGAAGAGCUCAAAUUUGAAAUCUUCAAGGUUUUACCUUGACGAAUUGUAGUUUAAAGAAGUGUUUUCUGUUGAAGUUUUGGUAAAAGGUUCUUUGGAAUAGGACAUCAUAGAGGGUGAGAAUCCCGUAUUUGACCAUUACUUUCAGCUUUGUGAUACACUUUCAAAGAGUCGGAUUGUUUGGGAAUGCAGUCCAAAAUGGGUGGUAAAUUUCAUCUAAAGCUAAAUAUUGGCGAGAGACCGAUAGCGAACAAGUACCGUGAGGGAAAGAUGAAAAGAACUUUGAAAAGAGAGUUAAACAGUACGUGAAAUUGUCAAAAGGGAAGCGUUUGACACCAGUGUUGUUUUCUCGAAAAUCAAUUAAAAAGAGUUGGAUUUUGUGUUGUAUUGACUUUAUCGGCUUUCUUCACUCUUUUCCAGCUUUUUUUAAUGCACUUUUCGUUUAACAAGUCAACAUCAGUUUCUUUUGUUGUAAAAAGGUCAUUGGAAGGUGGCUUUCUCUUCGGAGAAAGUGUUUAUAGCCUUUGACUCAUGCAAUCGGAGAGACUGAGGUCUGCAGCGUAGAUCCUUCGGGGUUAGAUACAUUUGUGCUAAGUUAUAGCUUUUCAUAGACAACUUGUUGACUAUGUUUAGUCUUGUAGCUUACUCGCUUAUGCUAUUUUACCUACGCUUAGGAUGUUGAACUCUAUCACACACAG